GGCACAAUCAAUAUCAACUGUCCCAGGAUGCACCACCACUAGCAGAGGGCCAGGAAAACCACCAAGCUGCCUGCAAGGCUGAAUAAUACAGGAAAAAGAUUGAUGGAUGGAGAUUAAGGGAGAUACGAGCAAAUGGCACAAUCAAUAUCAACUGUCCCAGGAUGCACCACCACUAGCAGAGGGCCAGGAAAACCACCAAGCUGCCUGCAAGGCUGAAUAAUGUAAGCCUAUCAGAUUUCCUGUUAUCAACCUAUUGCCUGAUCUCCCGGAUGACGUUACAAGCCUUUUCCAUGCCUGUACUAUUGCCUUUUUGGACCCCCUGUGUAUGACCUUCUGCCUGCCCCUGGACCCAGCUACCUGCCUCCUCAUGUGGUCCUUUACCAAUAAACACCUGCUGCGCCCUGCGCUUGAACCCAGCUCUCUGUCUCCUUUUGUGUUCAUUACACUCCCGAGUAGCGCAGCAGUCUAAGACACUGCAUCGCAGUACAAACUGCGUUGCUACAGAUGCUGUCUCGAGUCCCGUGCUUGCCACAACCAGGAGACCCAUGAGGCGAUGCACAAUUGACACAGCAUCGUCCGAGUUAGGGGAGGUCCUGUGGGCCAGGCGCAUGCCCGCUGACACGGUCACCAGGUGUAUGGUGUUUUCUCAGUUUUUUUGUGGAUGGGUAUACUUUGUAUGUAUAAUAGUAGUAUUUAAAAUGACUAAAUUGGGUAAUUUUGUAUACAUUUAUUUAAAUUUGCAUCGGACCGCUUCUGGGGAGAUUCUGGUAAGAUGUUAGCUGAAUUUGGGUAGAGGAAACGGCCCGAUGUACUUGGGCUGAUUCUGGGCAGUCAUUCAUUUUGAUUCCGGGCAGAGUCCGACACCCGAUUCUGGGCAAAUUCAAUUAGUUCCGGCCUCCCAGAAGAGGGCCGCUUCUGGGCCGAUUCCUCAUUGCUAGCUGGGAUUCUGCUGUAACGAUAUGCUAUGUGGUUCGUAAUGACAGCGUAGCUAACAAAUUGUCAGCCAACAUAACUCGAAAUUGACUCAACAUAACUCGAAAUUGAGUCCAGAUGCAUACUGUUUCCAUUGAUCAUCCUUGAGAUGUUUUUACAGGGUGACAGGCUCAUGGGGAUGGGCGAUCGUACACCUUGCACCUCCGUGCAGAAAAGACAGAGAGGGCUGUCUUGCUUCUAGUCCUUGGGAAACUUUGCAGUAUUUAGUCUUUUCUUACAUUGUUAGCCCAGAAAAUCUUAAGUGUUAUUACAUAGAGCUGGGAAGAACUAUGGUAAAAAUUAUGUAGGUAAAACAAAGCGCAAAUUAAAAGUACGUAUCUCAGAGCAUCGUAGCACCAUUAGGUGUAAAAACUUUACUUACCCAGUUGCGGCCCACUUCUUGGAGGCAGACCACUCUAUUUCGUCUCUGCAUUAUAUUGGCAUCGAACAUGUCACCCUCCCUAGGAGAGGGCGUGACCUUGAUAAUUUAUUGUUAAAACGAGAGGCUGCCUGGAUCUUUAA